GCUCGACAUAAUGUUAAUUAAUGCGACGGACACGUUAGUCAGUAGCCGUUUACAAGACCGUUUACACAUAGGAACGUAUAUUUAUACAUUCCAUUAAAUAUUAAACAUUUCAAUAUGAAUGCUCCAGGUACAAUGACCACUUUGACUGUCAUCCUAUAUCCCCACAUACAAUUAUUCUAAGUACUAUACUGGUAUAUUGCCCAAACAAAAAUCUAAUUGAACUAUUGAUUAAACCACAAUAUAAUUCACGCGACAAAUAUCGACGCACACAAUUAUAACAAACCCAAAUGUCGGAUCAUCGGCAGUCACCAUCGGUUAUAUUAGAUACAACUUCGUAAUGCAUAGUAAGUACAUACGAAGGAAACAUUGAAAUAAUAUAUAAUUGUGUGAGUACAGACCACAUACAGACAACGACUGGGUGAGUGUCAUCAGGUGCUGGGUGUGUAGGAGACAAGGAAUAUAAACAAUCCAUCGAAUUUACACAUUUCUAGACAACAUUUAAUAUUGACAAUUGUAAGGUCAAUGACCUCUUGGAAAUAUGGAGUGUAAGUCGCUCACACAGCGACAUAAAGUAACAUCACCACACCCGGAGUUACAUUUAGCAAGCUGGAGUGGCAGUGGGCCGGUCACAUUUGUCGAGGAACCGAUGACCGUUGGGGUAAACGUGUUCUAGAGUGGAGACCGCGUGUAGGCAAGCGUAGGGCGCCCUCCAGCUAGGUGGAGUGACGAUAUCCGCACCGAUGGCUGGUAGUGGUUGGAUGCGUAGAGCUGAAGAUCGAGCUCAGUGGCGUGCCAUUGGAGAGGCCUACGUCCAGCAGUGGACGAGAACAAACUAGUUUUGAAGAUGAGGAGGUACACUACCUACAAUACAACAUAAGGGACAAUUGUGUUUCUUGAUGGUUGUAUUCGAUACAACUUUAGACAAUAUUCGUAUUAUAUGAACACGAAAGUAACAUAUUAUUUUGUAAGUGGCAGUUAACUACCAACUGUUUAGAAAUACUGACACAUUAUGUAAUUGUUAUAGAUUUCAUUUCAUUUUAUAUCAUUUAUUCUUAACUAACUCCUCUGGUGCCUGAAUGUAGUGCUUCCUUCUAAGACAUGAAACAUUGUUUGGAAAAUUCAUUGGAUAUACUGCAAUCAUUAUAUUCAUAUUCAACUAAAUAUUUUUCGGGAUUAAUCCCGAUUAAAGUCAAAUAUAUUGCUUUACUAAUGAAGAAGUAAACUUGUCUGCUAGCUUCACGAACUAAUGAGUUUCUUGACGGUUGUCUUCGAUACAAGGUUGAUCGAACAUAAUGGUACUAAGAGGUGACAGUUAUUUCAAACACCUUCUUAACUUCAGUAUUUUGAGAAUUGGGACUCAUGGGACUAUUUAUCGUAAAAGGUUAAAUAAUCGAGGACAAGGGAGUUUCUUGACGGUUGUCUUCAAUACAAAUGUAUGCUUGAAUGUGUUUACGACGUGGAAUAUAACAAAUAACCAUCUGCACCGCUGUAGACACGGCCGAGACAAGGAGACCUGCUCGUGCUACUCUCCAUACACACGACUCUGUUAGCGCCAUAUAUUUGAAGGCGCGGGAUUCCGCACAUUGACAAAGCUAUGGGAUCCCGCGAUAAUGCGGGAUACAUCGAAACACUGACACAUAUAGCUAGAACUAGCACACACUAUGUGUUCAAAAUAUAAUCUUUAUGACCCCACAUAGAUCCUGGGGCUCAAUGACAUAACUUCUACAUUAAAUACAUUAACAUUUCUAUAUAAAGACUAAUUACACAGUCAUCGUAGAUCAUUUAACAUCCUAUACUACUCAAUAAGUUUCUUGACGGUUGUUCCACGACAGAACUCAUAUACAAUACUGGUAAGACAAAUAUCGACGCACACAGUUAGAACAAGCACGGCGGACGGUACAUUGGACACGCAAAGUCAGUCUCAUCGAGCGCCUGAAUGCGGAGUUGAGACGUGGAAUAUUUCGAACAUCAUACAAUUUCAAUUACUCUCCUAGAGACGUCAUAUCUGAUCACCUUCAUCACAACAUUAAGGACAAUUGUGUUUCUUGAUGGUUGUAUUCGAUACAACUUUAGACUAUAUUCGUAUUAUAUGAACACGAAAGUAACAUAUUAUUUUGUAAGUGGCAGUUAACUACCAACUGUUUAGAAAUACUAGAACAUUAUGUAAUUGUUAUAGAUUUUAACUACAUGUGCAAAAAAGUCAGACUGAAGUCACAACACUCACGUAACAAAUAUCGACGCACACAAUCAGAACAAACACAAAGCCCUGUAAGUAGCUGUUUAUGAGAUUACAAGCUACUUGGACAUACUGAUUUAUCAACACCACAUUUUGUGUGAGACUUUGUUGACGGCAGUUCUUCAAUAGAAACAUCAUAUUUUGACAUAUAGUAUGGACAUUUAUAAAGACACAAACUACAUACUUGGAAAUACCGACUAGGUAAGGUGUCUUGUGUUACAUGGAACAUUUAACAAAUCCAUGGAGUAUUGAGAAACCAAACAUGGAUAUAUCACACGCAAACAAGCGUCAGUUAGAUAAUAUUUGAAAUGUUUUAAACGCAUCUGUAUUCAUUUUACAUACAAUAUUGUGUCACAGUCAUAUUAUGUCGCAAGCAUUAAAUAUCGAUACACAAUUAGAACAAACAAGUCCAUUGUACAAUAUGUAUUACUAUUCCAUUCGUUUCUUGACUGCAGUUUUUGAUAGAACUAGAAUACAUAUUCCCGUAGUACAUUAAACAUAUUGAAAAGGAUAUCUUGUGUAGAACGACCGUAGAGCAGCAUCCUCCUCCUCAGUCGUACAUUCUUGACAGAAUGCUCGUGGUUGACAAUGAUGCAUUUUCCCUGGAUAUUGUAGCUCUCGCGAUGCACCUCCACUUGUAGCGGUCUUCACCCGUAACCCUGGGCACGGGUUCCGCGUUAUACCCCGCAGGACUGGGUCCCUGCUGAACUUCGCCAUCUACACACUCCGGCCUACCGAAGUGUAAGAUGCCCACCCCCGCGACAUGGACGCGCCAGACAGGAAUUGCCCAAGUGAAGAGUAGAGAAGGUGACUCUACUCCCCCCAGGGCCGAGUUAAUGGGCGUGUUUGAUCCCACACCCAAAGGCUUAACACUACCACUACUACAAAUAUAAAUAAAACAACAUUCAGUUGUUGUAUCUUGUAAA